rnacentral:rRNA from 1 species
AAACUGAAGAGUUUGAUCCUGGCUCAGAUUGAACGCUGGCGGCAUGCCUUACACAUGCAAGUCGAACGGCAGC